AGACAGCAAAUCAGCACCAAUCGACUCGACACUCUUUGGAGUAACGAUUUCAUCGACAAAUGGAUCUGCGAAGCACAAAUUAUUGCCUGCGAACGAUGGGGUCAAGUCAAGAAAAGACACAGUCGAACCGAGACGACCGUGAGAGUCUUGCCAGCAAACUCAACUCGCAGAUGUAGGAAAAUGGGUCCAGCAUAGGAAAGGUCACAAAUAGAAGAACACAAGGAAAAUACGAGUCAACUUUGACAAAUCCAUCAAAUGGAAAUAGAAAGCAAUUCGUCCAGAAUUGCGUCUUGCGAGUGAAGUGAAACUUGGAGGAAGAUUAGUCUCUGAAAUAAUCAACCCUGGCCUAGAAUGAUUUUCGCUCUGGAAGGAAAGAAACGGGGGAAAAAUUUUCAUCUCAAUUACAAAGUUGUGCCUCGAAGGCGCUACAAGUUUUCAAUGAGAGAAUCACAUGCGUGUGUAGAGCGAGUAAUUGGCGGCAUUUCCACGCAUCGCAGCUUUUUGAAUCCCCAAUAGGAGAGCUUGACUAGAAUAAUUCUCUCAACAACUAAAAUGACCAAAGCAAGCCAAAGGCAGCAGCAAAAGCAGCAUUAUCGGGUAGUCUCACCGCAGGAUUUCCUCAUCGGCUGCGAAGCGUUACGAGGAAUGCAUUUCGAUUGGAAAAUAAACAUUGGCCUACAAUCGAAAAGUAGUAAAAUUGCUAUUCAAACUAAAAGCACACACACACACUCGAUGGGAUCAUUAAAAGGAAAUAAAAAUUCAUUAAGCAGAAAUUAUGAUGGAUCAUUAAUUUGUGUUAGCCGAAAGGAGAUGAGGAAUAAAAAUGAAAAAGUCCUCGAAACACUGACCUGCAUCCUUUGGGAGGGAAUGAAAAAUAUACAGGUGGAACAGGAGUAGAGAGAAAAGUUAAAAGGCAAAUUGCAAUGUAUAUUAACAGAGGAGAGAUUCAAAGUGGGCCAAGUUAGGUCCAAGGUGGGCAAGAUGAGAGUCACAGAUAACUUGUGUAUUAUAAGAGAGGAGUAAAGUUUAAGAGGAGAGACGAGAGACGAGGAGACGGUAAAUGAGCGAGACUAAAUGCGUACAUUCAUGCAUGCCAGUGCGAACAUGUCUCGAGAAUAAAGCCCUGAAGCCAGAAACCUGAAGGCAGGUCCGUUGGUGUACCUGUUGCCAACACGUCUCUUCCUAACGACUUCCUGCUAAUGAUUACCAAAGGAAUCGUACCUUAUUAUCCGCAAUCAUCGAACUGGCAAAAUGUCUAUCAUCAAACGUCAGUGAAGGAUCAGUGAUCAACGUUUGAUUUUCUACAACUCUCCAACUAUGGGGCGAGGAAACGGGAUAGAAGUUGGUUCGCGAUUUAUGUACUAACAUAUGUACACAUAAAGCAAACCUUUACUUGCAACUUGCGGCUCUUUUCACGGUGCAUCGUUCUCGCUCAAGAAAUGGAAAUCGUAUACGUUUCGAAAGGAGGGAGAACGUCAUUUAAUUUUUUCACCAGUAAGGAAAUUCUCAUUAGUAAUUAAUUGGAAAAUGAAUGUCGAGUGGAUUUCUCAAGAUUUAUAUAUGUGAAAACAUUUGGAUUUGAAAUAACUGGGAGUCACGAUUGUUAAUUGGAGCAACUUUACAGAAUCAAGUUUCAGGAUAAUUAUACUGUUCAAAAUGAAUUCGAAACAUGAAAAUUGAUUUCG